AUUCAAGACUUGGAAAAAAAGGAAUUCCCUCCAAAAUAUUUAGCUCUAAAAUUUUUGUGCCUAAAUUAUAGCCUGCUUCUUCUAUUAGAUUGACUAGUAAGAUUAGAGAGUCAGAAACCCUAAAAGCCUAAAACUCUCAAAAUCAAUCAUUUACAGAGGAGCAAGAUUUCUCAUUACUCACGUGAAUCAACCUAAAAUCCCUGGAAGAAAGAUUCGAGGUCCUAUAGUAGAUUCAUAUAGCUCAACGACUAAAUUACUCUUAUUAUGCUUUUGGACUCCAAAGGUAAAUUUGAGGAAUUAGAGCAGAAAUGACAAGCUAAAAUCAAUGUUGAUCCAGCUAAGGUGCACUCGGAGACCGUGAGAGGAGAGAAAGAAGAAGACUAUGCGACUCUGGAUCUCAAACAAGAUGGUGUCAUAGAGGAAUUUUGUAUUGUAAAUGUAUUUUAAUUGAAAUAUAAAAUUAUGUGCAACUUGAAACAUGUUUUGGAAUCUAAAAACUUUGAAUUCUCUUAGUUGCAUUAUUAAGUUCUCAUAAUUAACAAUCUUGUGGCAAAUUCUUCAGUUUGUAGCUAUAAAUUUUUG